AAUUUCAUACCUAUGUGACUUUACUGAAAGAACCAAAGAGUAUUGAGAUAGUUAUCAUUUCAACUCAAUCUUUCAUCACUCUAAUAACUUUUAAUUUCAGCUGCCCGGACGAAGACAAAUACUACUGGUACAGCAGCAACUGUUCAAAGAUCUCCAAGAUAGCUGUGAUCGUAGGGAUCACUGUACCGCUUGCAGUCCUCCUCAUUGUCGGUGUGAUCCUACUGGUAUGGCGCAAAUACAGGAGAACACCGGUGUAUGACAGUUAUUUUGUGAACAAAGACGGCACAUAUGAAGACACUGUUGAAAUUUUGAAUGUGAAAAAAAUCGGUAAGUGACCAAUUGAUAUGUCUUCAUAAAUAGUGACGUGCAUGGUUGGCUAUGUACGGUGUAAAAUAAAUUAAACAUACAAUGGAAUCCUGUAUAUGUAUUGUUUAUAUUGUCAUUCCUAACUAUACACUUGAAUAAAGUCUCCAUGUGAAUACUAUUGGGAUAGAACAAUGAGACCACAUAUGCAUAUAAUGUGCAGCUUAAACAUUUUAAAUAUGCUGUUUUUUUUACAGAUUUUGACAAAGUUGAUACCACUACAUCAGUGAAAAUUAGAAGGCCUGAGCUUGUAUAAGGGAUGACGAACCACCACUAAAUGCACAUCUAUGAUAUUCCGUGUCCAUGUGAAUAUAUUGUACACCUUCAAUAAUCUUACGAACAAACUCGAGUUGCUUGAUAUUAAAUAAUAAGUUAGAUGUGUGGAAAUGAUUUUUUUUUACGUGGAUGUUUUGGAGGUCAGACCAACGAUCUGGCUCUGCUGCAAUUGUGGAUUCAAAUCCAGGGAUCUGUCUGUGAUUAAAAUGGGUUGUGAGAUUGUGGACGAAGCCCAGUAACCAAUGACUGCAUUGAUAUCGAUCACGUGAUAUUUUAUGCUGCAUUUAAUUUUGGCUCAAUUGCAUAUCUGAGAAGAAAUAUAUAUACCCGUGUGUCUAAAUUUUUUAUAAAUAUGCAAGAAUAAUUAUCUGUACUCGUCGGAGCAGAGAUCACUGGAAGAGAUCUCAGCAUUCUGUAAAAUCCGUCAUAUUCUGUCACAGUGGAUCACACUGCUCUGUCAAAGAUCUGAAUGGAUUCUUCAUCUCAUGACAAGACACAAUAACACAAUUGUAAUACAAUUGUGUUAUUGGUGUCAAACCCCUAUAACCCCUAUAAAACCCCUAUAAAAUAAUGAAUAGCUUCAUGUUAUAUAAUUGUACUAUGCGGCUGUGUUAUAUACAUUUAUUAUAUAUUUAAAAAUUUACAAUACAAUGCAUGUUACAUUUAUUUAUUAAAACAAAUAAUGUUUUUAUAUAAUUGUUUUCUAAGUUAACUAGGUAUAUUUUGCUAAAUUAAAAUUAUGAAACUAAUUAUAUAAAAUUUGGGUAUUAUAUACAGAUACAACAAAGGCUAAUGGAUUCAGUUGACGUCAAAACAUGAGCUUUAAAUGCAAUUAACUCCUAUUUAUGGCAUGUUGCUAUAAGUUGAUAUUUGGUGAUAAUAAGUGUUUGAUUAAUGCUGUCACAUCCACAUAAAUAUAGACCACUUACUAUAUUCAUUAUAGCUGUAUGCAGCAAAUAUGUAUUUGCACAAAAUGUAUUUCUGUUAUAAUGCAGAAUAAAGAUGUAUUUUAAAGGAAACAGCAGUCGAUGUGUUGGAAUUAACCAUUUUACAUAAAUAACCUUGUGGAAUUUUUAAAUUUGAUUUGAAACUGAUAAUUCCCACAAUUUGCAAUUGGCUUCUUGUAUACUGUAUAUACAUUCUAGUCUUGCACGGCAACGCAUAGUUUGUGUACGGUAUUGCUUUUUUGCGUUGAAUGGGAUCCCACAGUUCAAAUGGAGAGCUGUUACCAUAAUGUAUGGUUAUGUUCUUGCGUAUGAUAAUACAUACAGGAGCUAAACGCCAAUCUCUGAUAGCCAUGAGAGGGCUUCAGUCAGGAGAGUUCGCGUAGUUUUAUUGUUCCUCCUUCACUGAAGUAGUGCAGACUACAGUGGUUUACUAUGCGGUCCAUCGUUUUGGUUGUAAGGCCAUAAUUGCACCACUGUGGCUUGUGUCUUUAAUUUUCCAUUUACGAAGGAGAUGUGCGCAUCUGCCUGUUGAUGUUACGAUACGGUUGAUGGUUACACCAGUGUCGAUGAAUGUCAAAGACACUGGUACACUAUCAACUCUUCAUACGAAAUUAGCCUACAGAGCAUUGACAUUUAUUGCAUGACAUUUAUCGGUCUGUAUAUGUAUAAUCACUCGGUAGAUUGUGUUAUUUGUAUUAUUUAAAGACGCAAACAUUAUUUAAGAAUACAUUAGUAAUAAAGAUAUAUUGAAAUGCAAUACAUUGUGUGUGAUUAGCCGCACUGCUUUUUAUUUGAACCUGACCAACUCAGUUCUUCCUAAUACUACAGCUUAAUUUACUCAUAUCGCAUCUACAAUAUUGUCUAGGCCAAUACAUAUGCUUCCUACCUACAUAAAUUACACAUCACAGAAAAUCAAUUUGGAAGAACUUGGCUCCAUCUGCCCCAAUAUUUAAGAAACUCAAUAUCAUGUCCAUCUACAACAUUAAUAUACUCCAAAUAUGCACCUUUAUCUAUAAAUACACGUACCUCG